UGUUUUUUACCUAAAAAUAGUUAUUUAUUGUCUUUGUUGAAAAUGAGUCUACUGCUGGUGCUGCUUCAUCCUGAAGAUUUUCUUAACAUUUUCUCCGGUAGCCUCUCUAGGGGCCGCUCCCUGCUCCCGAGCUUCCUGUUUUUUGUUAAAUAAAUAUAAAGGAGUUCUAAUAAUUGUCAAGUUGUUGCCAUUAAGGAAUCCGACAAGACUUUUCAUAUCGCCAUAUCCGCUCGUUCCGUCCCUUCUAGAUGAUGAGGUCUCUCCUCCAGCUGCUGAUUUCCAUCCAAUCUAGCUCCCAAGCUUGAAUGAAAAUAAAGAAAUCCUAUGAACUUUCCCCGUACAUAGAACCUCCAAGGUUUUCUGGAUAGCUAUUGCACAAGCGGGAAUGUCUAAAGCGUCGUCAUUUGCAUCGAAUAUUUCAAAAGAUUCCUGAUUCGCAGUUUCGAAAAAAAAAAAAACUUUAGUUUUUUACGCAAUUUGAGUCGGGAAUAUGUAUACAAUGCUCCGUCACUUGCAUCGUAUUGCCAGUCAUUUUUAUAUCAGUGGUAAAUGCAAUUAUUAACGCAAACUGGAAUAUUAAUUUGGUUGGACUUCCAUUUGUCACCCCACUGUCCCAAUUUUAUCUCCCCAGAAAACAUA